AAGAAGAGCUCUCAUACAACACGCCAAUGAGGAAAAAUGAUGCCAAAAAUGGUUUCGUUAGGGUAUUAAAACUACGACUUGGUCAACAAAAAACGAAUUCCAGUAUGCAAAACAUGCAGUUCGUUCGAAGAUUACAGACGGAAACGCACCAACUUCGUUCGACAUUUGAAGAUGCACAAAGAAGGAAUCGCUGACCUUAGAGAUGACGCCGUUUUCAUCCGUCUGAAUGAGGAUGUUGCUGCACCACAGGGUCCCGCAGCCGCGACCCCAGCAGACCCGACUCAAGCCAAAACGCUGCACCGAGUACUCGCAGGACAGGGAAGCCACGCCCCCUUCUGUCACUCUGAAACAGGAGGCCGGAACCAAACGGCUACCUGACCAGGCCGCAAAGUUUACCAAAAUAGUGCAUGCCAAUGUACAGUAGGUUUACAUGUCGACUUUGAGUACAUAGUGAUGUCAUCAGUCGGCGUCUCACCUGACAGGAGGAGGAACAUGGCGGCGAAGGUCUGAGGGGUACGAUGGCAGCGAGGCAACGUCGAGGCCAUCCUGAUGUGUGUGUGGUCAUAAAUGACGCACGCCGACACACACCGACGCACACUGGCCCGCGCUCCGUGUGUGUGUGCGUGUGUGUGUGUGUGUGUGUGUGUGUGUGUGUGUGUGUGUGUGUGUGUGUGUGUGUGUGUGUGUGUGUGUGUGUGUGUGACAGACAAUAAUAAAGACUUCAUUGAUUCCA